rnacentral:rRNA from 1 species
UGCAAGUCGAACGCAGUAGCAAUACUGAGUGGCAAACGGGUGAGUAUAAUGUGGGAAUCUGCCUUUUGGUUUGGAAUAACACGGGGAAACCUGUGCUAAUACCGGAUAAGCCCUUACGGGGAAAGUUUUAAUGCCAAAAGAUGAACCCGCACUUGAUUAGCUAGUUGGUAAGGUAAAAGCUUACCAAGGCAACGAUCAAUAGCUGUUCUUAGAGGAAGACCAGCCACAUUGGGACUGAGACACGGCCCAGGCUCCUACGGGAGGCAGCAGUGGGGAAUCUUGCACAAUGGGGGAAACCCUGAUGCAGCGAUGCCGCGUGAGUGAAGAAGGCCUUUGGGUUGUAAAACUCUUUCGUCGGGGAAGAAAAUGACUGUACCCGAAUAAGAAGGUCCGGCUAACUUCGUACCAGCAGCCGCGGUAAUACGAAGGGACCUAGCGUAGUUCGGAAUUACUGGGCUUAAAGAGCUCGUAGGUGGUUAAAAAAGUUGAUGGUGAAAUCCCAAGGCUCAACCUUGGAACUGCCAUCAAAACUUUUUAGCUAGAGUGUGAUAGAGGUAAGUGGAAUUUCUAGUGUAGAGGUGAAAUUCGUAGAUAUUAGAAAGAACACCAAAUGCGAAGGCGACUUACUGGGUCACUACUGACACUGAGGAGCGAAAGCAUGGGUAGCG